UGACGCGCACGCACCAUUGCGCUGCAACUUCUCCUUCCCUUCUCAAGAAUCGCCUGCAGCCAGUGGUAUAACAUAGAUAAAAAAUCUCAUAAUAUUAUGAAUUCAACGGUUAAAUUAAAAGAUCCAUAAAUUAUAAUAUAGAUAGUUCAAAAGAAGUUUACAGACCUACAGCUUAAACAAAAUUACAAUAUUACUUCUUCUCUAGCCUACGAUUUCUAAUGGACAUGAAAGUCUUAAUUAUAUCUUCUUCAUCCACC
rnacentral:lncRNA from 1 species